rfam:Rattus norvegicus chromosome 2, whole genome shotgun sequence.
GGGGAUUUAGCUCAGUGGUAGAGCGCUUGCCUACCAAGCACAAGGCCCUGGGUUCGGUCCCCAGCUCCG